UGAGGCCUACGGGGCGAAGCAGUGGGGGAUAUUGCACAAUGGGGGAAACCCUGAUGCAGCGACGCCGCGUGAGUGAAGAAGUAUUUAGGUAUGUAAAGCUCUAUCAGCAGGGAAGAAAAAAGACGGUACCUGACUAAGAAGCCCCGGCUAACUACGUGCCAGCAGCCGCGGUAAUACGUAGGGGGCAAGCGUUAUCCGGAUUUACUGGGUGUAAAGGGAGCGUAGACGGCAAUACAAGUCGGAAGUGAAAUACCCGGGCUCAACAUGGGAACUGCUUUGGAAAGUGUAUGGCUGGAGUGCUGGAG
rnacentral:rRNA from 1 species